UUUUUCCUUUAAAGCAAGUGCAUUAUACAUCACUGACUCACCAGGAACAAUAAUACAGACCGGGACAGAAUUCAAUCUUCCUCUGAUCCUACAGACUUCGGAAAUUGGAUGAGACAGGCGUAGGGCAGAGAAAAGUCGCAGAAGAGGGAACAGGCGGAGCUGUUGGAUUUCAGUUGCACUGUAAACCCGAAGAGAGAAGAAUGGAAAAGGAGAAAACCUUGGAUGAAGAAAAAUAACCCUGUCCAGGAAGAAAUCCAAUUAGUGAAUGCUACCCCGUGUUUUUCAAAGUGGAAAUGCUGCACUCAUUAAACCUACCCAUUAGGUAAACAGCACAGAAAAAAAAAAAAGAUCCAGAGGAAAGGGAGUCGAGGGAGGAGAUGAGAAAAGGAAACAAUUAGGAAAAAAAAAAUCUAUACUGCAGAAGAAGAGUCAGGAGCUGAGAAAAGAUAAACA